CAAAAUAUAGCAUAAAUAAUGCCUCUCGCUUACACCGAGAAAAUAGUAUAAUAUACUUAUUUUGA
rnacentral:tRNA from 1 species